GAUGAACGCUGGCGGCGUGCCUAAUACAUGCAAGUCGAGCGAACGGACGAGAAGCUUGCUUCUCUGAUGUUAGCGGCGGACGGGUGAGUAACACGUGGAUAACCUACCUAUAAGACUGGGAUAACUUCGGGAAACCGGAGCUAAUACCGGAUGAUAUUUUGAACCGCAUGGUUCAAAAGUGAAAGACGGUCUUGCUGUCACUUAUAGAUGGAUCCGCGCUGCAUUAGCUAGUUGGUAAGGUAACGGCUUACCAAGGCAACGAUGCAUAGCCGACCUGAGAGGGUGAUCGGCCACACUGGAACUGAGACACGGUCCAGACUCCUACGGGAGGCAGCAGUAGGGAAUCUUCCGCAAAGGGCGAAAGCCCGACGGAGCAACGCCGCGUGAGUGAUGAAGGUCUUCGGAUCGUAAAACUCUGUUAUUAGGGAAGAACAUAUGUGUAAGUAACUGUGCACAUCUUGACGGUACCUAAUCAGAAAGCCACGGCUAACUACGUG
rnacentral:rRNA from 1 species